AGCGAACGCUGGCGGCAGGCUUAACACAUGCAAGUCGAGCGCCCCGCAAGGGGAGCGGCAGACGGGUGAGUAACACGUGGGAACGUGCCUUUUGGUUCGGAACAACCCAGGGAAACUUGGGCUAAUACCGGAUAAGCCCUUACGGGGAAAGAUUUAUCGCCAAAAGAUCGGCCCGCGUCUGAUUAGCUAGUUGGUGGGGUAAUGGCCCACCAAGGCUACGAUCAGUAGCUGGUCUGAGAGGAUGAUCAGCCACAUUGGGACUGAGACACGGCCCAAACUCCUACGGGAGGCAGCAGUGGGGAAUAUUGGACAAUGGGGGCAACCCUGAUCCAGCCAUGCCGCGUGAGUGAUGAAGGCCUUAGGGUUGUAAAGCUCUUUUAGCUGGGAAGAUAAUGACGGUACCUGCAGAAAAAGCCCCGGCUAACUUCGUGCCAGCCGCCGCAGUAAUAC
rnacentral:rRNA from 1 species